rnacentral:rRNA from 1 species
UUUAAUAAAUUUUGUCACCCUGAACAAGCCCAAUCCCAUCUGAUCUCAGAAGCUAACCAGAGUUGGGCCUGGUUAGUAGUUGGAUGAGAGACCACCUAGGAAGACCAGGUACUGUAGGCA